UACGUAGGGAGCAAGCGUUGUCCGGAAUCAUUGGGCGUAAAGCGCGCGUAGGUGGCUUCGUAAGUCCGUUGUGAAAGUCAAAGGCUCAACCUUUGAAAGCCGAUGGAUACUGUGAAGCUAGAGUACGGAAGAGGCGAGUGGAAUUCCUGGUGUAGCGGUGGAAUGCGCAGAUAUCAGGAGGAACACCAAUAGCGAAGGCAGCUCGCUGGGACGUUACUGACGCUGAGGAGCGAAAGCGUGGGGAGCGAACAGG
rnacentral:rRNA from 1 species